rnacentral:rRNA from 1 species
UACGUAGGGACCAAGCGUUGUUCGGAUUUACUGGGCGUAAAGGGCGCGUAGGCGGCGUGGUAAGUCAGCUGUGAAAUCUCCGAGCUUAACUCGGAACGGUCAGCUGAUACUGCUGUGCUAGAGUACAGAAGGGGCAAUCGGAAUUCUUGGUGUAGCGGUGAAAUGCGUAGAUAUCAAGAGGAACACCUGAGGUGAAGACGGGUUGCUGGGCUGAUACUGACGCUGAGGCACGAAAGCGUGGGGAGCAAACAGG